UAACGGCAAGAGUGAUGAAUCAAUUAGAUGUGUGAAUGUGAAUUAAAUAUUCUUUUCUAUUUCCCAUUUUGAACUAAGAUUUUUGAGGCAUUAUAAUCUGUCUGACUUGCCAUUG